rnacentral:rRNA from 1 species
AGAGUUUGAUCCUAGCUCAGGAUGAACGCUGGCGGCAUGCUUUACACAUGCAAAUCGAACGGGAAGUAGUGUUUCUAGUGGCGGACGGGUGAGUAACGCGUAAGAACCUGCCCUUGGGAGGGGAACAACAGCUGGAAACGGCUGCUAAUACCCCGUAAGCUGAGGAGCGAAAGGAGGAAUCCGCCCAAGGAGGGGCUCGCGUCUGAGUAGCUAGUUGGUGAGGUAAUAGCUUACCAAGGUGGUGAUCAGUAGUUGGUCCGAGAGGAUGAUCAGCCACACUGGGACUGAGACAAGGCCCAGACUCCUACGGGAGGCAGCAGUGGGGAAUUUUCCGCAAUGGGCGAAAGCCUGACGGAGCAAUGCCGCGUGGAGGUAAAAGGCCUACGGGUCAUGAACUUCUUUUCCUGGAGAAGAAACAAUGACGGUAUCCAGGGAAUAAGCAUGGGCUAACUCUGUGCCAGCAGCCGCGGUAAGACAGAGGAUGCAAGCGUUAUCCGAAAUGAUUGGGCGUAAAGCGUCUGUAUGUGGCUUUUUAAGUUCGCCGUCAAAUCUCAGGGCUCAAACGUGGACAGGUUGUGAAAACUACUAAGCUAGAGUACGGUAGGGGCAGAGGGAAUUUCCGAUGGAGCGAUGAAAUGCGUAAAGAUCAGAAGGAACACCAAUGGUGAAAGCACUCUGCUGGGCCGACACUAACACUGAGAGACGAAAGCUAGGGGAGCGAAUGGGAUUAGAGACCCCAGUAGUUCUAGCCGUAAACGAUGGAUACUAGGCGGCUGUGCGUAUCGACCCAUGCAAUGUUGUAGCUAACGCGUUAAGUAUCCCUCCUGGGGAGUACGUUCACAAGAAAGAAACUCAAAGGAAUUGACGGUGUAACGCCCACUUUCGUUUAAUUAAUUAUUUAAUCGAGUUUAGGCAAUUAUAUUAUAUUUAUAUAAUAUAUGUGUGAAUUUUGUUGAUUUAGAUGAUCUAGAUGAUUUGGACGAUUUUGAUGUGUUUUGAUGAUUUGAUGAGAUUAUGAAACUUAUUUUAUUGUUAAAUGAAAUAAGAUUUGAAAAUAAAAUAAAAUAUUUAGUUAAGGGUUGUUUUGAGAUUUUAGAGAGUUUUGGGGGAGAAAGUGAGAUAAGAUAAGAUAUUAAGAGGAGAUAUAAAAAGAAUAGACCUAGUUUUAGAAAAGUCAGUAUGUACGAUCAAAACUUUGGAAAAGGAGGAAAAACCAAGAGCAAGAACACCUAGGAGAGCUGCGAUUUUCUUCAAUUAAGGUAAGGGUGAGAUUAAUAAUUCAGUAAUGUUAAUUGCUAUGAUUCUGAUGAUUAAUUGACAAAGUUAGGAUUGAAUUAGAAAAGUUUUGUAAUUAGGUCAGAUCCCUAAAAUUGAUGAUCAAACGGUAAAAAUUGAUUAGAUUGAUUUAG